rnacentral:rRNA from 1 species
AUUGAACGCUGGCGGAAUGCUUUACACAUGCAAGUCGAACGGUAGAGGGGCAACCCUUGAGAGUGGCGAACGGGUGAGUAAUGUAUCGGAACAUGCCCAGUCGUGGGGGAUAACGUAGCGAAAGUUACGCUAAUACCGCAUACGAUCUAUGGAUGAAAGCGGGGGAUCGCAAGACCUCGCGCGAUUGGAGUGGCCGAUAUCAGAUUAGGUAGUUGGUGGGGUAAAGGCCUACCAAGCCGACGAUCUGUAGCUGGUCUGAGAGGGCGACCAGCCACACUGGGACUGAGACACGGCCCAGACUCCUACGGGAGGCAGCAGUGGGGAAUUUUGGACAAUGGGCGAAGGCCUGAUCCAGCCAUUCCGCGUGCAGGAAGAAGGCCUUCGGGUUGUAAACUGCUUUUGUACGGAACGAAACGCGCUGUGCUAAUACCACGGCGUAAUGACGGUACCGUAAGAAUAAGCACCGGCUAACUACGUGCCAGCAGCCGCCGCGGUAA